rnacentral:rRNA from 1 species
AUGUACACGGCUUUCCAGGUGGACGAACAUACGUUCAAGGUGUGUUCUAUCAUGGGCAUGUCGGAUUCAGAACCUGAAGACCCAGACAAGGGAAGGAACUACUUUGUGAAGGCAUCAAUAAGCGAAGGCGAAUACUACUGCCAAUGCUGCAAAUUCGAAUGGGACGGGAUUGUGUGCUGUCACAUUCUAAAAGUAAUGGACUUGAACGCGGUGACACGAAUGCCCCGCCAUUUCAUAAGGCGGCGAUGGACUUGGGACGCUGAGGACGCAUUGGCGCCGCAAACAUCAAACACAAUUUUGGCCGUGCAUGACGAGAGACCAGAGUCAACCAUGGAAGCCGUGAGGCACGUUGUGUUGACAAAGAACUAUGCUGAACUAAUUGAUGAAGCGUGCAAGAGUGAUGAGACAGCAAAGGUCGCAGAAAAACACAGGAAGGCCCUCAAAAGAGAGCUUGAUGAGAUCAAGAAGAGGAAAGCUGAGGAAGCCUUACACAGGUUCCCCCGCACAGCAAGUGUGCCUUCGUCCACAGGGCCAUCAUCUAAAAACUCGGAGGUAGGAUCUGGAACAGCAAGCACACAAACACAGGUUAGGAACCCGCCCCGUUCCUUCACAAAAGGGCGUCCAAAAGAGAUAAGAUACAAAUCGGGAUUGGAGAUUCAAGCAAAACAUAAGAAACCAAAGAAAGGGACGGGCAAUCCGUAA